AAAACAGAAGGGAAGUGGCCACCACAGAAAUUCUGCAGUGACCUUGUCCUGCUGGGCACUCUCCCAUGCUGGGUUUAGUCAGGGUGACAAUACACAGACAUUAACCUGCUAUGGGGAGACCCACUACGAACACUUUCUUCAAAGAAAAAUCCUAAGGAAUUUAAAAGGAGUGGAUUUUAACAGUUCUACAGACACACCUUUAGAGAUCCAUAGGAUUGAAUCAGAAGUCACAUCAGCCAUGGAACUUCUUUUGGAGAGUGGGAAAUUCCCAGGCACCGAACAAUGACACCAGGUGUUUGAAGAGAGAUGCAGGGAAGCUCCCAGAGGCAAGAAGAUGUGGAGAUGAAAGAGGAACCUUCUGAACUAGGAGAAGAGCACAAUGCACCUUGACAGGAAAGGUUACAGAGCAAUCCCAGUCAGGGCAUCAGCUGGUUUCAAUGGCCAGUAAAACUGGGGGGACUCCCAGGUUCAGAUGGCAAGCAGUGAGUUACAGAAGGACCCUGGCACAGCUGACCUUAGCUCUAACAUUUAAAAAAUGCUUGAGUGAUGAGAAAAAUGAAGGAAAUAAGCACAGAAAUCACUUUUGUCUACAUCUGUG